rnacentral:rRNA from 1 species
UGUCUAUGGCCAUACCACCCUGAACGCGCCCGAUCUUGUCUGAUGUCGGAAGCCAAGCAGGGUGGGGCCCGGUUAGUACUUGGAUGGGAGAACCCAUUCCCAAAUCUAUUAUCAUGAUGA